ensembl:lncRNA
UUUUUUUUUUUUCUUUGCCUCUGUCCUUAAUGAAACUGUCUCACGAGGGUGAUCCAGUGCUUUGUGGUUAAAUUGGUUAGAGGUCCCAAGGCAACCACACUGGCAUCUGAGAAUGCUGGAAAUCCGUUGAACAAGUAAUUUGUCCAAGGUCCUAUGUAGCACCAUACCAGUGUUUGGUCAAACACCUUGCAGAGUACAGAAUAGGAUCAGCAGAAUUAGUAAUGAAAAGAAAAAGUAGAUGUGACGUAUGAAGGUCAUUUAGAGGCUUUACCUGCUGGAGUAAAGAGUAAAACACAAGCACACUUAACAUCAUUCCUUUUGUGGAUCUAGAAGUGCAUUUUUCUGGCUUAUUCUGAUUCAGAGCUGUUGUCUUUUCCCUGCUUUAAUGUCCCUUUAUCUCCUUCCCUGCCAACGCAGGACCUGGAUUGGAGUAACUUCCUUUUAUCCUCACUGGAAAAACAACCAUCAAGUGAUCUUUUCAGCCUACAGAAAGCAUCUAAAAACAGUCUCUAUUCCUUGGUGAAAAGUGUUUUCAAGCUCCCUGAACAUGGUGCUAUGAGGGAAAGGGCUCCAAACUUUCAUCUGCCGCUAGUCUGUCCACCUCUGCUUUAUUUAUAUACUUGAGCCCUAUGUGCGUUUUUGGGGCACUCUGGAGCAUUGUUUACAGGCUGGUGACAAUGAGCUUUAGAACAUGGAGCCAGUUUAACAAAAAAAAUGCUGCCUUGGGACUGUAUCCUCCCCUGGAAGGGAUACAGCUCCAUGUGGUAGGUUGCCUUCAUUUCUGCCUGGUGAUCCUGCUGGUUUGCAUAUGGAAAGACUACUUGUUUUAUUUGUGUUACAAUUCUCUCUAAUUGUACUCUGUGGUAUUUGUGAUGGGUUUUAUUUCACAUUCAAUCAGAAUGCUGUAAUAAAAAGCCACCUUGAAAAUAAAAAGAAAUAAAACCAAAUGCGUUUGUUUAUUAGAGCUUGAGCGGGGACAUACUUGUGAAUGAAUUAAUGAACUGACCUCAGGGAAUAACUGUAUUAAAUUGAAGGAAAGCUCUAGUGCAGCAGAACUAUUCUGUACCAUCUCUGGUGAGUAUCGGUAUCGCCACUUCCUAGUCUAUCUAUUGGAAGAUGAGUAAAGCUUCAAGGUGCCUUUAGGCUUUGCUCAAAUCUAUGACACAAGUAAAGGCAUAAGAAAUAAUGCAAACUACGAUGGAUGGUGAAUGUUAAUCUUUCUGAGGAUAAAGCUAAGAAGUUAUCAAUUAUACACUGUUACUUUUAACUUUUAUUCUUAAACUCCAUUUUAUUUUGUUUCAGUAUGGAAGAGAAGACAGCGAUUGGGCAGUGUUGGUGUCCUGAAGGUGGAAGAGUUCAGACCCUCCAGACAGAACAGACAUGAAUAAUGAUAACUUCUGUAGCUGUCUGUGCGUAGCAUAGUUCCUGUAUCAGUUUGCUCCCAGGAUGAUUGUUUCCACAAUCCAGCAAAUGCGAACACAAUCAUUUUGAUUUCUACUGUAAUCCUGUUGGUAGGUGCCUGUCUUGGUAGAGGUGCUAAAUGUUAGCAAUAGAACUCUCCUAAUGGUUUUCUUAGAGCCUCCUUGUAUCUUAUCUACAGUCUGAAAACUUGUAAAAUGCUC